rnacentral:rRNA from 1 species
UCCGGAGGGAGCUAGCGUUGUUCGGAAUUACUGGGCGUAAAGCGCGCGUAGGCGGCGAACCAAGUCAGGGGUGAAAUCCCGGGGCUCAACCCCGGAACUGCCUUUGAAACUAGUUUGCUAGAAUCUUGGAGAGGUCAGUGGAAUUCCGAGUGUAGAGGUGAAAGGCGUAGAUAUUCGGAAGAACACCAGCGGCGAAGGCGACUGACUGGACAAGUAUUGACGCUGAGGUGCGAAAGCGUGGGGAGCAAACAGG